AUUGAACGCUGGCGGCAUGCUUUACACAUGCAAGUCGAACGGUAACAGGCCGCAAGGUGCUGACGAGUGGCGAACGGGUGAGUAAUGCAUCGGAACGUGCCCAGUCGUGGGGGAUAACGCAGCGAAAGCUGCGCUAAUACCGCAUACGAUCUAUGGAUGAAAGCGGGGGACCGUAAGGCCUCGCGCGAUUGGAGCGGCCGAUGUCAGAUUAGGUAGUUGGUGGGGUAAAGGCUCACCAAGCCAACGAUCUGUAGCUGGUCUGAGAGGACGACCAGCCACACUGGGACUGAGACACGGCCCAGACUCCUACGGAAGGCAGCAGGGGGGAAUUUUGGACAAUGGGCGCAAGCCUGAUCCAGCAAUGCCGCGUGCAGGAAGAAGGCCUUCGGGUUGUAACCUGCUUUUGUACGGAACGAAACGGCUCUCUCUAAUACAGGGGGCUAAUGACGGUACCGUAAGAAUAAGCACCGGCUAACUACGUGCCAGCCGCCGCCGUAACAC
rnacentral:rRNA from 1 species